rnacentral:rRNA from 1 species
UACGUAGGGUGCAAGCGUUGUCCGGAAUUAUUGGGCGUAAAGAGCUCGUAGGCGGUCUGUCGCGUCUGCUGUGAAAACCCGCAGCUCAACUGUGGGCUUGCAGCCGAUACGGGCGGGCUGGAGUUCGGUAGGGGAGACUGGAAUUCCUGGUGUAGCGGUGAAAUGCGCAGAUAUCAGGAGGAACACCGGUGGCGAAGGCGGGUCUCUGGGCCGAUACUGACGCUGAGGAGCGAAAGCGUGGGGAGCGAACAGG